GAGGCAGGCUGGAUGGCCGCUGCAGUAGCAGCUGCUCCAGCAGAGGCCAGCUCCGCCUCCCCCGACCGCCGGCAUUCCUUAGGGAGGCGGGAGCCGGGAUGGGGCUUGUUGGGGCCUCUGCUGGCGGGCCGCAAUGACGCUUGACCCCCUACAAGCCUGGCCUGGUUUGCUUUCCUGAGACCCCAGCACUGAAGGCCAGCGGUGAAGAAGGCUGAACUAGGAGGAUGACCACGAGUUCCAGGACAGCCAGGGCUACACAGCAAGACCUUGUCUUUAAGAGAAAAAACCGGGGAUGGGGGGCACCUGUGUGGAGGUCAGAGGACAGCUUAUGACAGUUCAUUUCCUCCUUCCACCAUGUGGGUUCAGAAAAUCCAACUAUGAUCACCAGGGUUGGUGGCAAGUCCUGUUACUGCUGAGCCCUCUUGACAGCCCUGGGAGAUGCUGUUGAUCCAUGUGUUUCUCAGAUGUUCAAUAUAGCAGGAGCCAGAACAGCUGGGCGCCAUAGUAUUCUCUCACGCCUCGAAUUGGGGACAAGGAAGAAAGUGCUGAUGGUGAGCUGUGGGAGCAGCUGUUCCAGAAACUGAACAAUUUCACAACACCCAUCCAGACUGCCAUGAGGUAUUCCCCUCCCCAAACUGUUUAGACAUUAACUCAGCCGGGACAAGCCAAAGCCAACAGUCCAGGGUUGUGACACAGAAGAGUCAUAUACCUGCUGCCUUGGGCUCUCUAUGGAUCAGUCUUGGAUCCUGGGCUUCUUUCUGAUCCUCAUGAGCAGCCAUCUGAGCCACACCAACCUGCUGUACAUCCUGGUGGUCCCCCAAGUCAUGAGGGUUGGCAGCACUGAGAACACCAGCAUCCAAGCACAUCGGACACCAUGCAGUCACUGCACACGCCUCUCAGGGCGAAUGUCACCAUGUGGGACUUUCCCCUGAGGAAGAUGAUAUUGACCUGGAGCAAGCUCACUCUGUCCCCAGAAAAUAACUUCAUGGUUCAAUUGCCUGUGAUGGUGGGUGAUGAAGAUGGGUGGUCAUAAAAGGUGACUCUGGGUCAGCAGAAAGGGUGCAGAUGAGCAGGCACUACAGGGAACUUCCCACAGGGACAAUGUAUGCAUUUAGUGAUUCUCUCAAGUCUUGCCCAUUUAGAUAUCAAAAGCCUCCCAGAGCCUGGAAUCUAGGAAAGGCUUUUUGCUUAAAGCACUGACUCCUACAAUGCUUCUGUAAAUUAUGGAAGAUGCCCUCUGCUGGUAACUUGGGAAACUGACGUGAA